rnacentral:rRNA from 1 species
AGAGUUUGAUCCUGGCUCAGGAUGAACGCUAGCGGCAGGCCUAAUACAUGCAAGUCGAACGGUGUGGCAACACAUAGUGGCGCACGGGUGCGUAACACGUAGGUAACCUACCUUGAACCGGGGCAUAACGAUGGGAAACCAUCGCUAAUACCGCAUAAGAUCAUGAAGAGGCAUCUCUUAGUGAUUAAAGAUUUAUUGGUUCAAGAUGGGCCUGCGGCUGAUUAGCUAGUUGGUGGUGUAACGGACCACCAAGGCUGUGAUCAGUAGGGGUUCUGAGAGGAAGAUCCCCCACACUGGCACUGAGAUACGGGCCAGACUCCUACGGGAGGCAGCAGUAGGGAAUAUUGGGCAAUGGGGGCAACCCUGACGCAGCGACGCCGCGUGAAGGAUGACGGUCUUCGGAUCGUAAACUUCUUUUGACAGGGAAGAAACAAAUGACGGUACCUGUCGAAUAAGCCCCGGCUAACUACGUGCCAGCAGCCGCGGUAAUACGUAGGACACAAGCGUUAUCCGGAGUUACUGGGCGUAAAGGGCGUGUAGGCGGAUGCAUAAGUCUAUUCUGAAAGCUCCUGGCUAAACUGGGAGAGGCGAAUGGAGACUGUGCGUCUAGAGUGAGGAAGAGGAAAGUGGAAUUCCGCGUGUAGUGGUGAAAUGCGUAGAGAUGCGGAGGAACACCAGUGGCGAAAGCGACUUUCUGGUUCUCAACUGACGCUGAGGCGCGAAAGCAUGGGGAGCGAACGGGAUUAGAUACCCCUGUAGUCC